rnacentral:tRNA from 1 species
AAACCCGCGGAAUUCCGGGGUUCGCCUACGGCCUUCUAAGCCGAUGGUCGCAGGUUCGAAUCCUGCCGGGAUCGCCA